UUCAUGCUUGAAUGCUGAAUCAGCAAUAUUGCCCAUAACGCCCAAAUCUGAUAUCAGUAGUCUACUGUUACCUUAUGAUCAAAGCAGAACUGCACAGGCCAACUGAGGUAGUGACUUUUUGCUGUCCUAUAUAGAGAAUAUGUGAGGGAGACAGGCAUGAAGUCUGUGUCAAUUUCAUCUUGUUCUGACUUCUGGUGAUUAUGUUUGUCUGUCAAUGGAGACAGGAAUGUACAUGCAUGGCUAUACGUACAUGUAUGUAUGCUAAAUACUAGUAACAAUGCAUAGUUUGAAGAUUUAUAUGAUUGAAAUGAAAGUUAUGAAACUGAUCCUAAUAUGCUGGGGAAGCAUUUUAGUAGUGAUACCUGUACUAUAUAGACA